rnacentral:ncRNA from 1 species
AAAAUAUAAAAGCAAAAUUGCUGAAAAGCAGUGACGCAAAGCCAAGGGUCUAAACCGUAUGGUAUGACAGCCGGUUGCUAUA